AACGCUAGCUACAGGCUUAACACAUGCAAGUCGCGGGGCAGCAUGAAGGAUGCUUGCAUCCUUUGAUGGCGACCGGCGCACGGGUGAGUAACGCGUAUCCAACCUGCCUGUUACCACGGCACAGCCCGUCGAAAGGCGGAUUAAUGCCGUAUGUGGUCCUUUGCGGGCAUCUAAUUAGGACUAAAGGUUCAGCGGUAACGGAUGGGGAUGCGUCCGAUUAGCUAGACGGCGGGGUAACGGCCCACCGUGGCUACGAUCGGUAGGGGUUCUGAGAGGAAGGUCCCCCACACUGGAACUGAGACACGGUCCAAACUCCUACGGGAGGCAGCAGUGAGGAAUAUUAGUCAAUGGGCGAGAGCCUGAACCAGCCAAGUAGCGUGAAGGAUUACUGCCCUACGGGUUUUAAACUUCUUUUAUAAGGGAAUAAAACGCUCCACGUGUGGAGCCUUGUAUGUACCUUAUGAAUAAGGAUCGGCUAACUCCGUGCCAGCAGCCGCGGUAAUACGGAGGAUCCGAGCGUUAUCCGGAUUUAUUGGGUUUAAAGGGUGCGUAGGCCGGCGUGUAAGUCAGCGGUGAAAAAGUUGGUGCUCAACAUUGACCCUGCCGUUGAUACUGCAUGCCUUGAGUGCGGAUAAGGAAGGCGGAACUCGUGGUGUAGCGGUGAAAUGCUUAGAUAUCACGAAGAACUCCGAUUG
rnacentral:rRNA from 1 species